CAGUCGCCGCGGGAAUACAGAGGGUGCGAGCGUUAAUCGGAUUUACUGGGCGUAAAGCGUGCGUAGGCGGCUUCUUAAGUCGGAUGUGAAAUCCCUGAGCUUAACUUAGGAAUUGCAUUCGAUACUGGGAAGCUAGAGUAUGGGAGAGGAUGGUAGAAUUUCAGGUGUAGCGGUGAAAUGCGUAGAGAUCUGGAGGAAUACCGAUGGCGAAGGCAGCCAUCUGGCCUAAUACUGACGCUGAGGUACGAAAGCAUGGGGAGCAAACAGGAUUAGAUACCCCAGUAGUCCCUGUCUCUUAUAC
rnacentral:rRNA from 1 species